CCGUGGAGUUCGUGUGCUGGGCGCCUUCCCCAGAAAUGCGCUUCCCGGCUGCCUUCGGACGACACGCCGGUGGCUGCUCGCUCUGGGUGCUGGUCUGUCGUGCGAAGGCAGCCCCUGCUGGGGAAGGCUCGAGGGUUGCGUGAACUCCGGCAAACUUCGAAGCGAGCCGAGCAAGAACGCCCUCCGUUUCCAGGAAGAAAGGACCCCUUCCUCCUUAAUGAAAACCAUCCUCGGUCCACUCCCGUCUUUAGGGAGAAAUGAGAUUCCCACUUAUUUAUGGGAAACAAACAAGAAAUGGUCGAUUUGUUUCCCCACAGGACGAAGAUAAUAAGAAGCAGAACAAGUUUGCAAACAUCAACCAGGCCGGUUUUGCUCAAAAAAGAGGGCAAUCUGCUAUAUUCCAAUGGGAAAAGCCUGGUGGAAUUGGGUGCAAUCUGGAUGGUGCCGGGCCACCGGUGGGAAGACUCUUCCAGCCUCGGAUCUGGACUGGCUGCUUCCAAUCAGGGCUUGUGAAUCUGGGGAGCUUCAGAACAGAAAAAUGGAUGCUCCUGGGGACAAAAAGCUCUUCUUUCUUGACAACCUUUCCAAACUUGGUUACCACUAAUAGAAGGCCACCUACAGACAGCACAUGACAUCCAAUAGCUGCUGUGCUGAAGAACAUGUGGCUGAUGAUCUCUGCUGUAUUGUGCUUGGGGACUCCCUGUCUCAGCAUCUGGAUCUAACUAGCAGCAGCCAACGCGGUUGGCUGUCACUGGAGCUGAGGGCGUCUCCUUCCUCUGCUCCUGCAUCCAACAAGGGUUCAUAAUACAGAAGGGGAGUGAACCUUCCUAGUUUUCUGCACCAGUUUCCCAAGACGUUGCUGCCUGCCUGCCUGAAAUCAGUAUCUUUUCUUUUUCUGUUCUCCAUAGCAAAAACUUACAUUGCUCCUACUUGGUAACUCAGAAGCCACCUUCAAGCCCUGGCUGGCAGAACACACAACUGUUCAUCUGGGGUUAAUGUUACCCUUUCCCAUUAAAAGUGUCACAUUCUUCUCUCAUGGCCCAUUUUGCUUCAGAUUCAGAGGGGUGGGUGGGUGGCUGGUCCUGACACAAGGUUCAUUAAUGGGCAUUUGCUGAGAAAGCAAGAUGGCAUCUUUAAUAAAAGGGCCAUUCCGAAGAUGUAUAUGGGGCUGCUGACCAAAUCCAAACCACAGUUAAGUAAUCCUGGAAUUAGAAUGACGGAUCCACACAGACAUU